GACGAACGCUGGCGGCGUGCUUAACACAUGCAAGUCGAACGGAAAGGCCCUGCUUUUGUGGGGUGCUCGAGUGGCGAACGGGUGAGUAACACGUGAGUAACCUGCCCUUGACUUUGGGAUAACUUCAGGAAACUGGGGCUAAUACCGGAUAGGAGCUCCUGCUGCAUGGUGGUGGUUGGAAAGUUUCGGCGGUUGGGGAUGGACUCGCGGCUUAUCAGCUUGUUGGUGGGGUAGUGGCUUACCAAGGCUUUGACGGGUAGCCGGCCUGAGAGGGUGACCGGCCACAUUGGGACUGAGGUACGGCCCAGACUCCUACGGGAGGCAGCAGUGGGGAAUAUUGCACAAUGGGCGGAAGCCUGAUGCAGCAACGCCGCGUGCGGGAUGACGGCCUUCGGGUUGUAAACCGCUUUCGCCUGUGACGAAGCGUGAGUGACGGUAAUGGGUAAAGAAGCACCGGCUAACUACGUG
rnacentral:rRNA from 1 species